GUCAGCUGACACAUCCCUGCCAAUCUCCGGCAGACCCUCUCCCCCAGACCCUCCCACCUCCUGGACAGCAUCCAUGUUGAAGCUGCCUUCAACAUGGAUGCUGUCCAGGAAGUAGGAGGGUCUGGGAGGGAGGGUCUGCCGGAGAUUGGCAGGGAUGUGUCAGCUG